rnacentral:rRNA from 1 species
AUUGAACGCUGGCGGAAUGCUUUACACAUGCAAGUCGAACGGUAGAGGGGGCAACCCCUCGAGAGUGGCGAACGGGUGAGCAAUAUAUCGGAACGUGCCCAGUCGUGGGGGAUAACGUAGCGAAAGUUACGCUAAUACCGCAUACGAUCUAAGGAUGAAAGCGGGGGAUCGCAAGACCUCGCGCGAUUGGAGCGGCCGAUAUCAGAUUAGGUAGUUGGUGGGGUAAAGGCUCACCAAGCCAACGAUCUGUAGCUGGUCUGAGAGGACGACCAGCCACACUGGAACUGAGACACGGUCCAGACUCCUACGGGAGGCAGCAGUGGGGAAUUUUGGACAAUGGACGCAAGUCUGAUCCAGCCAUUCCGCGUGCAGGAUGAAGGCCCUCGGGUUGUAAGCUGCUUUUGUACGGAACGAAAAGGUCUCUCUUAAUACGGGGGGCUCAUGACGGUACCGUAAGAAUAAGCACCGGCUAACUACGUGCCAGCCGCCGCAGUAA